CAGUAGCCGCGGGAAAACGUAGGUGGCAAGCGUUGUCCGGAAUUAUUGGGCGUAAAGGGCUCGCAGGCGGUUUCUUAAGUCUGAUGUGAAAGCCCCCGGCUCAACCGGGGAGGGUCAUUGGAAACUGGGAAACUUGAGUGCAGAAGAGGAGAGUGGAAUUCCACGUGUAGCGGUGAAAUGCGUAGAGAUGUGGAGGGACACCAGUGGCGAAGGCGACUCUCUGGUCUGUAACUGACGCUGAGGAGCGAAAGCGUGGGGAGCGAACAGGAUUAGAUACCCCAGUAGUCCCUGUCUCUUAUAC
rnacentral:rRNA from 1 species